rnacentral:rRNA from 1 species
AGUGAACGCUGGCGGUAGGCCUAACACAUGCAAGUCGAACGGCAGCACAGUAAGAGCUUGCUCUUACGGGUGGCGAGUGGCGGACGGGUGAGGAAUACAUCGGAAUCUACUUUUUCGUGGGGGAUAACGUAGGGAAACUUACGCUAAUACCGCAUACGACCUACGGGUGAAAGCAGGGGAUCUUCGGACCUUGCGCGAUUGAAUGAGCCGAUGUCGGAUUAGCUAGUUGGCGGGGUAAAGGCCCACCAAGGCGACGAUCCGUAGCUGGUCUGAGAGGAUGGUCAGCCACACUGGAACUGAGACACGGUCCAGACUCCUACGGGAGGCAGCAGUGGGGAAUAUUGGACAAUGGGCGCAGGCCUGAUCCAGCCAUACCGCGUGGGUGAAGAAGGCCUUCGGGUUGUAAAGCCCUUUUGUUGGUAAAGAAAAGCAGCAGGUUAAUACCCCGCUGUUCUGACGGUACCCAAAGAAUAAGCACCGGCUAACUUCGUG